CUUGUACUCCCUCCAUCUGAAAAUACUUGUCAUUGAAAUGGAUGUAUCUAGAUGUAUUUUAGUUCUAGACACAUCCAUUUUGAUGACAAGUAAUUCCAGACGGAGGGAGUACUUG
rnacentral:pre_miRNA from 1 species